GUAUAGGGUGUGACGCCUGCCCGGUGCCGGAAGGUUAAUUGAUGGGGUUAGCGUAUGCGAAGCUCUUGAUCGAAGCCCCGGUAAACGGCGGCCGUAACUAUAACGGUCCUAAGGUAGCGAAAUUCCUUGUCGGGUAAGUUCCGACCUGCACGAAUGGCGUAACGAUGGCGGCGCUGUCUCCACCCAAGACUCAGUGAAAUUGAAAUCGCUGUUAAGAUGCAGUGUAUCCGCGGCUAGACGGAAAGACCCCGUGAACCUUUACUACAGCUUCACAGUGGACUUUGAAUAUGCUUGUGUAGGAUAGCUGGGAGACUUUGAAACCGGGACGCUAGUUUCGGUGGAGUCAACCUUGAAAUACCAGCCUGGCAUGUUUGAGGUUCUAACCUAGACCCGUGAAUCCGGGUCAGGGACAUUGUGUGGUGGGUAGUUUGACUGGGGCGGUCUCCUCCCAAAGAGUAACGGAGGAGCACGAAGGUACCCUCAGCAUGGUCGGAAAUCAUGCAAUGAGUGCAAGGGCAUAAGGGUGCUUAACUGCGAGACUGACAAGUCGAGCAGGUGCGAAAGCAGGUCCUAGUGAUCCGGUGGUUCUGUAUGGAAGGGCCAUCGCUCAACGGAUAAAAGGUACUCCGGGGAUACAGGCUGAUACCGCCCAAGAGUCACAUCGACGGCGUGUUUGCACUCGAUGUCGGCUCAUCACAUCCUGGGGCUGAAGCCGGUCCCAAGGGUAUGGCUGUUCGCCAUUUAAAGUGGUACGCGAGCUGGGUUUAGAACGUCGUGAGACAGUUCGGUCCCUAUCUGCCGUGGACGUUGGAAAUUUGAGAGGGGCUGCUCCUAGUACGAGAGGACCGGAGUGGACGAACCCCUGGUGUUCGGGUUGUCACGCCAGUGGCAUUGCCCGGUAGCUAUGUUCGGAAAGGAUAACCGCUGAAAGCAUCUAAGCGGGAAACCUGCCUCAAGAUGAGAUUUCCCGGGCCUUCGGGCCCCUAAAGGACCGUAGAAGACUACUACGUUGAUAGGUUGGGUGUGUAAGCGCUGUGAGGCGUUGAGCUAACCAAUACUAAUUGUCCGUGAGGCUUGAUCAU
rnacentral:rRNA from 1 species